AGUGAACGCUGGCGGUAGGCCUAACACAUGCAAGUCGAACGGCAGCACAGUAAGAGCUUGCUCUUACGGGUGGCGAGUGGCGGACGGGUGAGGAAUACAUCGGAAUCUACUUUUUCGUGGGGGAUAACGUAGGGAAACUUACGCUAAUACCGCAUACGACCUACGGGUGAAAGCAGGGGAUCUUCGGACCUUGCCCGAUUGAAAGAGCCGAUGUCGGAUUAGCUAGUUGGCGGGGUAAAGGCCCACCAAGGCGACGAUCCGUAGCUGGUCUGAGAGGAUGAUCAGCCACACUGGAACUGAGACACGGUCCAGACUCCUACGGGAGGCAGCAGUGGGGAAUAUUGGACAAUGGGCGCAAGCCUGAUCCAGCCAUACCGCGUGGGUGAAGAAGGCCUUCGGGUUGUAAAGCCCUUUUGUUGGGAAAGAAAAGCAGCAGGUUAAUACCCCGCUGUUCUGACGGUACCCAAAGAAUAAGCACCGGCUAACUUCGUG
rnacentral:rRNA from 1 species